UGCUGUGGGGAAGUCACAGCUGCUGGAAAUGAUUGCAGCACCAUUAAAGCAAUAGCAUGCUCCUAUAGGCACCAGCUGAAACUCUGGCUCGUACACAUCUGCCCAGAUUCUGCAUGAAGCUGGGGCUGAACCCCUGCUCCCUUGUCCCCCCCAGAAGUGAGGCAUGGAGGGGAAGGCACUGCAGGUCCAGGCAGCAGUGACCCCCCCUCCCCUCAGCCCUUGGGUGCAUGUGGAAUACAGAACAGGAGGGAAUUCCCCGGGAGAUGUCUCCUGCAGUUUGAGAAACUCAGUCUGCCUGAAAUUUCUAUUCCAUUUGUUUAAGAACAAAACAAAGAGAAGGCUUUUAAUGGAAGGCAAAACGGAAGACAACCCUCAAAAGAAGAAGUGAAGAAAAAGGUGGCAUUUGAAUUACAUUUACAGCACUGCACAGGUGUCAGAAGUGAAACACGGCUGCAGAGCUCUUCAGAUCUUACAGAGAUCACAGGUCUGGGCUUUUGCUGUAGAUCAACUUAUUCUGUAGCAAGUGUGAAUACUUAGAGGGAAGAAUAUUUACAAAUACAAAAUUAAGCACAUCAUCGUAUCAAAACAAUGCAUUUAGGCUUCAAUUUUAGAACCAGUUCAGUGUGUACCUGCCUCUACACAUGUAAGCAGCCUGCUCAGAGCUAGGCUUUUAAUAUUAAACUUUUUUUUAUUAUUUGACAAAUGGUGUUAGAUGCUAAUUAGUUGGUGACCGCAUUCUUAAUUUGCCUUUGCCUGUGCAGUGGAAAGAAGUAGUUUAUAAACUGAGAGUGAGAACACUGAAAGCCAAAACUAAUCAAGGAAGAGAGAAGAUUAACAGCCAGUCUCUAGAUCUGCCCCUUGAUAUUCAGAGUAAAGGGCAGGUGAUAGCAGGGAGGACAAUUUGGAAAGUUACAACAAAAGUUUAGGGCCUCCGGUCCUGAUUACUAAGCACAUUUGGGGCAGACUGUACAACACCAGGAUCUUCAGUUUAUCUUUUCAAGUGGUCUUUUUUUUUUAAACAAACAAACAAACACAUAUAUUUUGUCUUCAUUUACUGCACAGUACAAAUGUGUGCAUGCUUGAAGUUUGCUUCUGUUUUCAGUCCUGAGGAAGAGCUGGUGUGCCUGAAAUCCCUCCUCUCUUCCGAUUGCAUUGCUUCAAUGAAAGGUAUUGCUUCUCUGUGCAAAUCUUUAUUCUCAUUCUAGCACCAUAGUAGCAACUCUGUUACUUUCAUUACUACUAUCAACCAAUUCAUAUGUACUCAAAUAAAUGGCAGUAAGAUCCCGAAGAUCUUUUACCCUAUGAGUUAAAAGAAAAGAGAACAGCCAUAUCAUGUGCUGUUGUUUAGAAAAGGAUCCAUUUGCAGAACAAAGUACAGAAACAAAACUGUAGGUUGAGCAAAAUGAGCUUGGAGAAAGCUAUUUAUUUAUUUAUUUAUAGAAAUCUACGUGCUAUCGAACAAGCUUCUGUUUACAUGUCUUCUCCUACACUACGUGUACUGUGAUAAAUGGAAAGAAAAGGCAUGCCAUGCUUCAAGUCUGUUAAAGUUCAUACUCAGUGAAAACAAAACAAAAUCAAGGUCAAAUAGAAAAUCUUUAAUAGCUGUACUGUCAGCAUGCCUCACAGGACUUGAAAUCUAUGAGUUUAUACACACAGGAUGUAUGAAAUAGAGAAAGGGGAAAAAAAAACCUGCAGUUUCUUUUGCGUUAUAAAAAUAAACUGUUCUAUGCUAAAUGUGCUGCUUAUAAAGUAAGUAGACCUACACAUUUUAGCAGAGUAUAAAAAUACCUACCAAAAUGCGUUUUUAAAGAAUGCAGCACUUUGGCCUAGAAUGCAAAAAGGGGAGGGGAAAAACAAAACAAAACAAACCCCAAGCUGUUGCUGAUGACAGAGGGAGGCUGGUAACUGAAUAUGCGUUGAGGAGAUAGCUGCUAAUGCAAGAGCAAGGCACAUUCUUGGGGGGGAGGGCGCGGGGCGCCUUGUGCACGGCUACUGCACAAAGUUGCUCCAUGGAUUAUCUGAUGUUGCAAGAACCUGAUUGCUUGCAGCUUUCUCAUCACUGCCUCAUCUGUGUCUUCAUUUAGUAAACCUAAUCAUGUGAGCAUGUUAGUCAAAUUGGAGACCAUGCCUAACUACCAAACUGCCCCUGCAGCAGGCGUUUCCUGUAAACAUACUACUGUGUGCACUGCUGCAGAGGCAAGAACAUGAGAAUCAUCUGACACGAUUGGAUUUUCUUUUAGUCGUUGCUGAAAUAAUGCUGAAAGACGUAAUUUGUGUGAAGGGGGAAUUCAAAAACAAGCCACAGAACACUGAUAAAGCUUUCUCAUCAGUCUGUCUAUUUUCUAGUCUCAGUCUCAGCUAUCUCGCAAACAAUUUAUGAGCAAUUUUGUAAGCAAAGUAAAAUGAUCCUGAUUUUACAAACAGAAUUUGCUGUACAGAAAUGAAUCCUGUACAAUUUUAUAUCCUAACACAUGUCCCAGACACCCAAACUAAUUUACAAAGGACUUCUCAAAUUUGUUCUGUAGCUUUGAGCCAUUAAGUUAUGCUGCGAUUGUGGUUUCAAGCUUAUCUCCUUUAAAAGCUAAAACGUUGUGUAUUUACUUUAUUUAUCUAUUCAUGCCAGCAUAAGGAGAAUUUUGUAUGACUUGAAUGCUAGAGCCAGGGCUUUUAAAAAUAAAACCAAAACAAAACAACAAAAACCUGCCUAAGACUUGACUGCUAGAGCCAGGGCUUUUAAAAAUAAAACCAAAACAAAACAACAAAAACCUGCCUAAUUUUUUGUGCUUUGUGAGAAGACUUGCCCAAGAUCACACAGGAAGUCUGUGGCAGACUUGGGA